rnacentral:rRNA from 1 species
AUUGAACGCUGGCGGCAGGCCUAACACAUGCAAGUCGAACGAGUGGCGGACGGGUGAGUAAUGUCUGGGAAACUGCCUGAUGGAGGGGGAUAACUACUGGAAACGGUAGCUAAUACCGCAUACCAUCGGAUGUGCCCAGAUGGGAUUAGCUAGUAGGUGGGGUAAAGGCUCACCGAGGCGACGAUACCUAGCUGGUCUGAGAGGAUGAAAAGCCACACUGGAACGGAGACACGGUCCAGAGUCCUACGGUAGGCAGCAGUGGGGAAUAUUGCACAAUGGGGAAAAGCCUGAGGAAGCCAUGCCGCGUGAAUGAGGAAGGCAUUCAGGUUUUAAAGUACUUUCAGCGGGGAGGCGUUACCCGCAGAAGAAGCACCGGCGAACUCCGUGCCAGCAGCCGCGGUAAUAC